AACCCAUGGUGAGGGCACCUUUUCAAUAAAUCCAUGUACCUCUCUCAUGCAUCAUAUAAAGUAUUUAAAUCGAUUUACACAAAGGAGGAGAUAUCAUUCCUCAACUU
rfam:Gossypium arboreum cultivar AKA8401 contig_557_1, whole genome shotgun sequence.